rnacentral:rRNA from 1 species
AUUGAACGCUGGCGGCAUGCCUUACACAUGCAAGUCGAACGGUAACGGGCCUUCGGGUGCCGACGAGUGGCGAACGGGUGAGUAAUGUAUCGGAACGCACCUUUCAGUGGGGGAUAACGUAGCGAAAGUUACGCUAAUACCGCAUAUUCUGUGAGCAGGAAAGCAGGGGAUCGCAAGACCUUGCGCUGAUUGAGCGGCCGAUAUAAGAUUAGCUAGUUGGUGAGGUAAAGGCUCACCAAGGGGACGAUCUGUAGCGGGUCUGAGAGGAUGAUCCGCCACACUGGAACGGAGACACGGUCCAGACUCCUACGGGAGGCAGCAGUGGGGAAUUUUGGACAAUGGGGGCAACCCUGAUCCAGCCAUGCCGCGUGAGUGAAGAAGGCCUUCGGGUUGUAAAGCUCUUUCGGCCGGGAAGAAAUCGCAUCAGCUAAUACCUGGUGCGGAUGACGGUACCGGCAUAAGAAGCACCGGCUAACUACGUGCCAGCCGCCGCGGUAAUAC